CACACGGCUGGCCUGAACAUGAGGGUGAGAGGGAGCAAUGGAAAGGCCUGCAGAAGGAGUGACUCCCGGCUGGAAGGGACCCCGAGGACAGCAAAUACCGAGAGGAGGCUCACCGCAAAGAAAGGGGAAGUACAAACUCUGACACAGCCUGGGACCUACUCCUGACCCAGACGUGUGGCUCGGAGGAUGGGUUUCAGGAAGCCUGGCUGAGGGUGGGGCAACUGAGGCUUAAAGGGUACAAGUGGCUGCCCUAAGUCAUGUGGCUAGAGGCUGGAACUCAGGCAGCCUGCCUGCAACCAUGAGGUCUACUGCUGCUGCAUGGAGAAGGGGAGGUUUGAGGGA
rnacentral:lncRNA from 10 species